UCGAGAGGCUUCGGCAAUGGGGGAAACCCUGACCGAGCGACGCCGCGUGGAGGAUGAAGGCCCUUGGGUUGUAAACUCCUUUUGUUGGGGAAGAAAUGCGAUCAGGUGAAUAAUCUGGUCGUUUGACGGUACCCGACGAAUAAGCUCCGGCUAACUCCGUGCCAGCAGCCGCGGUAACACGGGGGGAGCAAGCGUUGUUCGGAAUCACUGGGCGUAAAGGGCGUGUAGGCGGUCAGGUAAGUGGAAUGUGAAAGCCCUCGGCUCACCCGAGGAUCUGCAUCCCAAACUGCCUGGCUUGAGUAUGGGAGAGGAUGAGGGAAUUCCUGGUGUAGCGGUGAAAUGCGUAGAUAUCAGGAGGAACACCGGUGGCGAAGGCGCUCAUCUGGCCCAAUACUGACGCUGAGGCGCGAAAGCUAGGGGAGCAAACGGGAUUAGAUACCCGCGUAGUCC
rnacentral:rRNA from 1 species